CCUACGGGGGGCGAGCAGUGGGGAAGUAUUGCGCAAUGGGGGAAACCCUGACGCAGCGAUGCCGCGUGGGUGAAUAAGGCCUUCGGGUUGUAAAGCCCUUUCAGUGGGGAAGAUGAUGACGGUACCCCACAGAAGAAGCCCCGGCUAACUCCGUGCCAGCAGCCGCGGUAAUACGGAGGGGGCGAGCGUUGUUCGGAAUUAUUGGGCGUAAAGGGCGCGUAGGCGGUUUAUCAAGUCAGGAGUGAAAGCCCCAGGCUCAACCUGGGAACUGCUUUUGAAACUGGUAGACUUGAGUCCGGCAGAGGGUGGUGGAAUUCCCCGUGUAGAGGUGAAAUUCGUAGAUAUGGGGAGGAAGACCGGAGGCGAAGGCGGCCACCUGGACCGGUACUGACGCUGAGGCGCGAAAGCGUGGGGAGCAAACAGGAUUAGAUACCCUGUAGUC
rnacentral:rRNA from 1 species